rnacentral:lncRNA from 1 species
UCGAUAAUUUGAUUUGUUGUUGAUGCCGACACCAACCUUAACCUCUCUUUAAUCCGCAUUUGGUACGCGGUUUAUCCUCUUUUUUAUUUGACAAUUAACACCACUCAAUUAUCAUCAUCGCCAACGAUACUACUGAUAUAUUACAGUAUUGACAAAUAUUAUUAAUUAAUCGAGCCAUUUUCGCUUGAUUUUGAUGCUACGAAAAAGAAAGGUGCAACGACGACGGCAAGAUGAGGUUUACACCAACGAUCGGUUCGAGCUAGCUGUAUGCCUACCACGUCGCGGCGGCGC